GCUGAGAGUUAGCGUCGGAUGUCGUCAUCUGGACCAACACCAUGCGGACCUUGAUGGUGUCACAAGGAUGCCAAGAUCAAUGCUCAGACAGAGGAGAAAGCGCUGCCGGGGCCAAUAACGGCUUGACCUGAAUACAUGCUGUCUGCAGUCACACUGUGGCAAGAAAGGAGAUCUGUAGCUCAGCUGGUAGAGCACGGCGCUUGUAACGCCAAGAUGUGGCUGGAGGAGUGGUGGUGGCCACUGGAAGGCAACUUUAAUACUGGAGCAAAUGUAGGAGCUCAUCUUCAUAAAAUGAAUCUAUAACAGCUGAUGCAAGUAUUCUAUAUGUAUUAGGUACUACUACAGUGCUAGCAGGAGAGCCCUCCUUUACUAAUCAUAUUUCAUGAAUGUACAGGGUCCAUUUUGACCCAAGACAAUCCAGACUAAGAAUGUACCAAAGGUCAGAUCAUAAUGAAUACUAGUAUUAUAUGGACAGAGUCGACCUGAUCCUAGAUCAGCACUCCUACUCUGAUGGCGAAUUCUCUCUCUCUGAUCAUCCUUUCUAUAAUUUCAGAUUGACCCCCUGGUCUAUGAUUAGUAGAUGUGGGUGAGUGGACAUACAGAUCUGGGACUAGCAUAAAAACAGCAACUCUUCUCAGCUGUUGGCAAGGAUUUAUUUGACAUCCAAUCACCAUGAGAGAUGCUUUAUUCUGCAUUCAACACUUCUAUUGUGGUCUCCCCUUAUAGAUGAUUUUCAAGUACAUAUGUUGUAGAAUUAAACACCUAUAUGCCUUAAAAUGUUUAUGGAUUGAGAACCAG